UACCUGCCGCUCAAGUAGUGACCACUAUUAUUGGGCCUAAAACGUUCGUAGCCGGUUUGGUAAAUGCCUGGGUAAAUCGUGUAGCUUAACUAUACGAAUUCCGGGUAGACUGCCAAACUUGAAACCGGGAGAAGCUAGAGGUACUCCUGGGGUAGAGGUGAAAUUCUGUAAUCCUAGGGGGACCACCAGUGGCGAAGGCGUCUAGCUAGAACGGGUUUGACGGUGAGGAACGAAGCCCUGGGGCGCAAACCGGAUUAGAUACCCGGGUAGUCCAGGGUGUAAACGCUGCUUGCUUGAUGUUAGUUGGGCUCCGAGCCCAAUUAGUGUCGGAGAGAAGUUGUUAAGCAAGCUGCCUGGGAAGUACGAUCGCAAGAUUGAAACUUAAAGGAAUUGGCGGGGGAGCACAGCAACGGGUGGAGCGUGCGGUUU
rnacentral:rRNA from 1 species